AUGGCCGCGCGCCCUGUUGUAGUUGAGCACUCGGUGAUCCUUGAUCGAUCCCUUGAAAUCGAGAACAUGCUCCCCCGCACGCUCCGCAUCUUCAAGGACCGCCUGCAUCAUCACCAUCUCAUGCGUGUAAUCCUUCUCGUCGAAGGAGUCGUUGCACGACUAAACAUGGUGCUCAUAUAUGUACUUCAAAUUAGAAUCCAUUGCUCGAAAGAAGAAGGGACAACUUUUUUAGCUCUGGAAAUUCAUCGAACAUGUGUCGGGCAUGGUGAGUAUAGCAGUAGCAAAUGGUACUUAGCGGGGCGGUCGGAGGAGAGAGGUUGA
rnacentral:rRNA from 1 species